rnacentral:rRNA from 1 species
AGAGUUUGAUCCUGGCUCAGGAUGAACGCUAGCUACAGGCUUAACACAUGCAAGUCGAGGGGCAGCGGGAAGGAAGCUUGCUUUCUUCGCCGGCGACCGGCGCACGGGUGAGUAACGCGUAUCGAACCUGCCUCAUACUCGGGGAUAACCUUGCGAAAGUAAGACUAAUACCCGAUGUUUUCAUCUCCUCGCAUGAAGAGUUGAACAAAGUUUUUCGGUAUGAGAUGGCGAUGCGUCCCAUUAGCUUGUUGGCGGGGUAACGGCCCACCAAGGCAUCGAUGGGUAGGGGUUCUGAGAGGAAGGUCCCCCACAUUGGAACUGAGACACGGUCCAAACUCCUACGGGAGGCAGCAGUGAGGAAUAUUGGUCAAUGGACGGAAGUCUGAACCAGCCAAGUAGCGUGCAGGAUGACGGCCCUCUGGGUUGUAAACUGCUUUUAGUUGGGAAUAAAGUGCGGUACGUGUACCGUUUUGUAUGUACCAUCAGAAAAAGGACCGGCUAAUUCCGUGCCAGCAGCCGCGGUAAUACGGAAGGUCCAGGCGUUAUCCGGAUUUAUUGGGUUUAAAGGGAGCGCAGGCGGACUCUUAAGUCAGUUGUGAAAUACGGCGGCUCAACCGUCGGACUGCAGUUGAUACUGGGAGUCUUGAGUACACGCAGAGAUACUGGAAUUCAUGGUGUAGCGGUGAAAUGCUCAGAUAUCAUGAGGAACUCCGAUCGCGAAGGCAGGUAUCUGGAGUGUAACUGACGCUGAGGCUCGAAAGUGCGGGUAUCAAACAGGAUUAGAUACCCUGGUAGUCCGCACAGUAAACGAUGAAUACUCGCGGUUGGCGAUAUACAGUCAGCCGCCAAGCGAAAGCGUUAAGUAUUCCACCUGGGGAGUACGCCGGCAACGGUGAAACUCAAAGGAAUUGACGGGGGCCCGCACAAGCGGAGGAACAUGUGGUUUAAUUCGAUGAUACGCGAGGAACCUUACCCGGGCUUGAACUGCCAGUGACGCAUGCAGAGACGCAUGUUUCUUCGGACACUGGCGGAGGUGCUGCAUGGUUGUCGUCAGCUCGUGCCGUGAGGUGUCGGCUUAAGUGCCAUAACGAGCGCAACCCUUGUUGUCAGUUACUAACAGGUUCCGCUGAGGACUCUGACAAGACUGCCAUCGUAAGAUGUGAGGAAGGUGGGGAUGACGUCAAAUCAGCACGGCCCUUACGUCC